UGGGGAAUAUUGGGCAAUGGGCGAAAGCCUGACCCAGCGACGCCGCGUGGGUGAUGAAGGCCUUCGGGUUGUAAAACCCUUUCGUGCGGAGAGAAUAGUCCUGUAGCGAAUAACUACGGGAUUUGACGGUACCGCAGGAAGAAGCACCGGCUAACUCCGUGCCAGCAGCCGCGGUAAUACGGAGGGUGCAAGCGUUGUUCGGAAUUAUUGGGCGUAAAGGGCGCGUAGGUGGCUGUGAUAGUCAGAUGUGAAAUCCUUCGGCUCAACCGAAGAACUGCAUCUGAAACGUCAUAGCUCGAGUACAGGAGAGGGAAACGGAAUUCCCGGUGUAGAGGUGAAAUUCGUAGAUAUCGGGAGGAACACCAGUGGCGAAGGCGGUUUCCUGGCCUGAUACUGACGCUGAGGCGCGAAAGCGUGGGGAGCAAACAG
rnacentral:rRNA from 1 species